rnacentral:tRNA from 1 species
GGGGAUUUAGCUCAGCAGCAUGAGCGCCUGCCUUGCAAGCAGGCAGUCGUGAGUUUGACCCAUAGUACCGA